rnacentral:lncRNA from 1 species
CACACACACACACACACACACACACAGGCCCUCUAUUAGAAGAAUUCAAAGCUUGAAGAGAAAACAAACCAGUCCUGGGUCUGGAAUCUGAACUUCAGCUCAUGUUGAAUUGUGUUUUCACAUUCUUUGUUUUUACCAGCUGGGCUGUGGACCAACAUAGGCAUUUUCUGAACACAGGCAACACUGUCCAAGGACAGCCCUGCAUCCUCUGGUCGUGUCAGAGUGGGAAAAAGAUAAAAAACAACAUGGAAAAAAAUAUUUGCCUAUCCAGCACUAACAUGUUUCUGCCAUGUGUGAGACAGACACGGAGAGUGGCGAUUGUUGUCAUGAGUCAGAGUUGGCUGCACAGUAUGUGGUUCUGGAGGAGAAUCAUUCAAGUCAGGAGAUUCUGAUCACAGGAACUAAAGUCACCAGGGAUUUGUGGGCUGUUUGUAUAUGGUUCAGAUGACCAAGCAUGAGGACAAACCAUGAAGUAUGCUCGUCCUGCCAGACCCAGGCAAAGUCCCAGAGGAUCACAGCCCCUCAUGGCACUGAGUUCAAGGACUCUCUCUCCUGGGGCUCCCAUCAUUACAGCUUCCCCAAGUGCAGCAGUGGAAGAGUCAGAAGCUGCAUGGUUCUGUCUUAGGUGAACAAAGGCUAAGAGAUGCCAGAUGCUGCAGUGAUACAGAAAAAAUACUCCACUCAUGGUGAAAACGUCACAAGCUCUGGAAUGGAUGUUGCAGCUUCUUUUACUAAAAAUCACUGCUAGAUAGGCAUAAAGUUUUUAUAAGUAUUUUGGGCAGUGUUGAACAUACCAUCAUUUAUUAGCAAAUGAGUUUAUUAAAAUUCUAUAAGUAAUUAGAAAGCAGAUACUUAAAAACUAGGACAAGACUAAUGUAAAUGAGGGUGUUUCUUUCCCCUUCAAAUUAUUCUGGUGCUUAAGGUAACAUUAAACAGUAGAUGUGACAACUAUAUUCUUAGAAGAAAUACAAAAUAAUUUUGGGUUAGGCUGCUGACAUUUAGAGAUCCUUGGCACAGAAUUGGUGUACAAAUUCCUUGAAUUCCCAGUGCAAUCCCUGAAAGACCUUCAGCUGUGUUAGAGACCAGCAUCAGAUGCUGACCUUUUUUUCAAAGAGAGCACUGAUUAAAAGAUGAUGGUGUUCUGCUUGGGACACAGCUCAAGGUUCACAGGCUGCUGGUGAAUUCAGUAAGGGCACCCUCUGACUUAAAACUGUGUGCAGGUGUGUGCCAAGAGCAUAAAAAACACCCAGAAAAAGUUAUGGACAAAGACUUGUGUACAACUACCUACUCAAGUGAGGAAUGCUUAGGUGGACUCUGUGCCAGAGCUUUUAAUGCAUAAUGCAGAAUCUUCUUUAAGAAAUCAUGUGGCCAGUGGUCCUUCUGAAGCAUAGA